rnacentral:rRNA from 1 species
UAGGGAAUCUUCCACAAUGGACGCAAGUCUGAUGGAGCAACGCCGCGUGAGUGAAGAAGGUUUUCGGAUCGUAAAGCUCUGUUGUUGGUGAAGAAGGAUAGAGGCAGUAACUGGUCUUUAUUUGACGGUAUCAACCAGAAAGUCACGGCUAACUACGUGCUAG